UCAACUUCUUCCUCUUACCAAACCUUUAUCUUUCAGAUGAAGAUGUUUGAUUAAAUCUUUUGUUUGUAACAUAUCUUCGUUCCUAGGAUCAAUCUUUUGUUUCACAUAAGGAGAAUUUCUCUUUGCAAUAGGCAAUUUUGUUGUGUAAUUGUCUCAAGGUGGAGCUUCUCUUAAUGAUCUUCUUCUAUCUCCAAGCUUGAGUCAUAAUAAUCUUAUCUCCUGCUUUAGAAGAAUUUUAUUAUAUCCUGUUUGUUUGUAUCAGAUUUUUUACUUCUUUUCAGAUUUGCACUUAACCCUUUUGAUGGGAAUCAAUUUUCACUUUUCUGAUAUGGAGCCUAAGUUGUCGACUAUGAGUGAAGUAUCCUUGAUAAAAGGAUGAUGUGAUAAUGGAUUACUCUCGGCUGACUCUAUUGGAGAUUUCAGAAAAUGUUGGCAUCUUCUAUAUAUUGAAGGUGGUCUGAGAAAAGAUCUUCCAUUGAGGCAUCUGAUGUUUCCAGAGUUAUCAUAUGAAAGUUAUUAGAAACUUUGAUCAAAGAAACAGUUGGAUCGAAAGUUAGGAGCUUUGGUGUCGAUGAUUGAAGCAUCCACACCCUUUGGUGAGGGUGUUAAUUUCUGCUGUGGCGGAGAGGAGGAGAUUGUAGAGGAAUUACGCGACGGUGAAGCUUCCUGUAGGCCGUGGUUACAUGUGAUAGCAUGUGCAACACGUGUGAGAGACGUGGCCCUGAUGCUGCAUCGUGAAGCUUCGUGAAAAGACACGUGAAAGAUAAACCUAAUGUAUCGUUUUUGUUUUAUCUAAUUUAUGCUCUUUUGGGCCUCAUGUAUUUCGAUUGGGCUUAGAAAACAUUGUAACCGAUCCACUUUGCCUUCGGAUUAAUGAAAUCAAAAGUUGACCA
rnacentral:lncRNA from 1 species